UCAACUACAUCAUUCUUCAAGGUGGAUGUAAUCUUAGAAGGAAGAUUUAUAGCCUUGGUGAAGAAGGCAAUUGUUUUGCAAUGUUAAGCCAUAUUCACGAGCAAAUAAGUUGUAGUGUUACCUUCUCUGAAGGUGUUAAUGAAAGAGAAAUGACAAAGUGAACUCAUAAAUUAAAUCUGUUUAAUAUCACCUUUGAUCUGCCAAAAGGUGUUGGACAUACCUUUAACCAUCUGAAUAAUCAAGAGGGAGUCGGACUCAACAAUAACUCUAUGAAAACUAUAAUCUAGACACCAUCUUAGGCUAGUCUUUAGAGCUAAAGCCUCAGCUCAAUUAUUUGAGAAAACAAAAUCAAAAUAGGCCCUGAAAUCCAUAAUCAUUUGUCCAACAUGGUCCUAAGAACUCCUCCACCUCCAACACUUUCAAGAUUUCCUUUACUACAUCCAUCCACAUUCAGUUUUAGCUCAUUAUAGUUUCACCUCUUCCAUUUCACCAAUUUAAUUUCUAGCUUUGGUGUGAUGUGAUCUGUGAGAUGAGAUCAACUGAUAAUAGAAGGUGAAAGUGGAAGCUCUAGAAAUUGAGAAUUAAUAAUCAAAUAGAGGAGGUUGGAGAUCUAAUCAAUGAUUCUAGGAAUAGAAAUUAUAACACCUUCAUGUUUGAAGUUCGUUAACUUUGUUGACAGGUUUGAUCAACCACCAUCUAAUAAUCUUAACCAUGACAUUUUCAUUAGAGUUGUAC
rnacentral:lncRNA from 1 species